UGAGGAAUAUUGGACAAUGGGCGCAAGCCUGAUCCAGCAAUGCCGCGUGCAGGAUGAAGGCCUUCGGGUUGUAUACUGCUUUUGUACGGAGCGAAAAGGUCUGCCCUAAUACGGUGGGCUCAUGACGGUACCGUAAGAAUAAGCACCGGCUAACUACGUGCCAGCAGCCGCGGUAAUACGUAGGGUGCGAGCGUUAAUCGGAAUUACUGGGCGUAAAGCGUGCGCAGGCGGUUAUAUAAGACAGAUGUGAAAUCCCCGGGCUCAACCUGGGACCUGCAUUUGUGACUGUAUAGCUAGAGUACGGUAGAGGGGGAUGGAAUUCCGCGUGUAGCAGUGAAAUGCGUAGAUAUGCGGAGGAACACCGAUGGCGAAGGCAAUCCCCUGGACCUGUACUGACGCUCAUGCACGAAAGCGUGGGGAGCAAACA
rnacentral:rRNA from 1 species